rnacentral:rRNA from 1 species
GACGAACGCUGGCGGCGUGCUUAACACAUGCAAGUCGAACGGUGAAGCGCCUUCCUUUUUGGUGGGUGUGGAUGAGUGGCGAACGGGUGAGUAACACGUGAGUAACCUGCCCCCUUCUUCUGGAUAACCGCAUGAAAGUGUGGCUAAUACGGGAUAUUCUGGGUCUGUCGCAUGAUGGGUCUGGGAAAGAUAUUGUUUCGGUGGGGGAUGGGCUCGCGGCCUAUCAGCUUGUUGGUGGGGUGAUGGCCUACCAAGGCGGUGACGGGUAGCCGGCCUGAGAGGGUAGACGGUCACACUGGGACUGAGACACGGCCCAGACUCCUACGGGAGGCAGCAGUGGGGAAUAUUGCACAAUGGGCGCAAGCCUGAUGCAGCGACGCCGCGUGAGGGAUGGAGGCCUUCGGGUUGUGAACCUCUUUCGCCAGUGAAGCAGGCCUGCCUCGUUUGUGGGUGGGUUGACGGUAGCUGGAGAAGAAGCGCCGGCUAACUACGUG